rnacentral:rRNA from 1 species
GUUAUAGGGUCAAGCGAACAAGUGCAUGUGGUGGAUGCCUUGGCGAUCACAGGCGAUGAAGGACGCGGUAGCCUGCGAAAAGCUACGGGGAGCUGGCAAACGAGCUUUGAUCCGUAGAUGUCCGAAUGGGGAAACCCACUCCUUAUGGAGUAUCCAUGGCUGAAUACAUAGGCCAUGUGAAGCGAACGCGGUGAACUGAAACAUCUAAGUAACCGCAGGAAAAGAAAUCAACCGAGAUUCCCAAAGUAGUGGCGAGCGAAAUGGGAUGAGCCUUGUACUCUUUAUUUGUAUUGUUAGCCGAACGCUCUGGAAAGUGCGGCCAUAGCAGGUGAUAGCCCUGUAGGCGAAAACAGUAUGAAAGAACUAGGUGUACGACAAGUAGGGCGGGACACGUGAAAUCCUGUCUGAAGAUGGGGGGACCAUCCUCCAAGGCUAAAUACUCGUGAUCGACCGAUAGUGAACCAGUACCGUGAGGGAAAGGCGAAAAGAACCCCGGGAGGGGAGUGAAAUAGAUCCUGAAACCGCAUGCAUACAAACAGUCGGAGCCUCGUAAGGGGUGACGGCGUACCUUUUGUAUAAUGGGUCAGCGACUUACGUUCAGUAGCAAGCUUAACCGUAUAGGGCAGGCGUAGCGAAAGCGAGUCCGAAUAGGGCGUUCAGUUGCUGGGCGUAGACCCGAAACCAGGUGAUCUAUCCAUGGCCAGGAUGAAGGUGCGGUAACACGUACUGGAGGUCCGAACCCACUAACGUUGAAAAGUUAGGGGAUGAGCUGUGGAUAGGGGUGAAAGGCUAAACAAACCUGGAAAUAGCUGGUUCUCUCCGAAAACUAUUUAGGUAGUGCCUCGUGUCUCACCUUCGGGGGUAGAGCACUGUCAUGGUUGGGGGGUCUAUUGCAGAUUACCCCGCCAUAGCAAACUCCGAAUACCGAAGAGUGCAAUCACGGGAGACAGACAUCGGGUGCUAACGUCCGGUGUCAAGAGGGAAACAACCCAGACCGCCAGCUAAGGUCCCCAAAUAUGGCUAAGUGGGAAACGAAGUGGGAAGGCUAAAACAGUCAGGAGGUUGGCUUAGAAGCAGCCACCCUUUAAAGAAAGCGUAAUAGCUCACUGAUCGAGUCGUCCUGCGCGGAAGAUGUAACGGGGCUAAGCCAUAUACCGAAGCUGCGGAUGCGAGCUAGUCUCGCAUGGUAGGAGAGCGUUCCGUAAGCCUGCGAAGGUGCCUUGUAAAGGGUGCUGGAGGUAUCGGAAGUGCGAAUGCUGACAUGAGUAGCGAUAAAGGGGGUGAAAGGCCCCCUCGCCGUAAGCCCAAGGUUUCCUACGCAACGUUCAUCGGCGUAGGGUGAGUCGGCCCCUAAGGCGAGGCAGAAAUGCGUAGCUGAUGGGAAGCAGGUCAAUAUUCCUGCACCGUCGUUAGAUGCGAUGGGGGGACGGAUCGCGGAAGGUUGUCCGGGUGUUGGAAGUCCCGGUCGCUGCAUUGGAGAAGGCGCUUAGGCAAAUCCGGGCGCAGGAUUCAAGGGUGUGGCGCGAGCUCCCUCGGGAGCGAAGCAAUUGGAAGUGGUUCCAAGAAAAGCCUCUAAGCUUCAGUCUAACGAUGACCGUACCGCAAACCGACACAGGUGGGCGAGAUGAGUAUUCUAAGGCGCUUGAGAGAACUCGGGAGAAGGAACUCGGCAAAUUGGUACCGUAACUUCGGGAUAAGGUACGCCCUUGUAGCUUGACUGGCCUGCGCCAGGAGGGUGAAGGGGUUGCAAUAAACUGGUGGCUGCGACUGUUUAAUAAAAACACAGCACUCUGCAAACACGAAAGUGGACGUAUAGGGUGUGACGCCUGCCCGGUGCCGGAAGAUUAAAUGAUGGGGUGCAAGCUCUUGAUUGAAGUCCCGGUAAACGGCGGCCGUAACUAUAACGGUCCUAAGGUAGCGAAAUUCCUUGUCGGGUAAGUUCCGACCUGCACGAAUGGCGUAACGAUGGCCACACUGUCUCCUCCCGAGACUCAGCGAAGUUGAAGUGUUUGUGAUGAUGCAAUCUACCCGCGGCUAGACGGAAAGACCCCAUGAACCUUUACUGUAGCUUUGCAUUGGACUUUGAACCGAUCUGUGUAGGAUAGGUGGGAGGCUAUGAAACCGGAACGCCAGUUUCGGUGGAGCCGUCCUUGAAAUACCACCCUGGUUUGUUUGAGGUUCUAACCUUGGCCCGUGAUCCGGGUCGGGGACAGUGCAUGGUAGGCAGUUUGACUGGGGCGGUCUCCUCCCAAAGCGUAACGGAGGAGUAC